CAAUUAGCUCAGCUGCCUUUUAAGAAGUUGAAAAGAAGUUGUUCCUUCCAAAUUAUUUUCUGCUAGGAACCUCGAUAUCAUGGACUUUGACUGAAUAACUGAUGAAUAAGUAGUUCUUGCAGAAUUACAUCGGUUGGCUAAGGUAGCUAAACAGAACCAAACCACCAAUUUAGCUGACUAAAAUAGAUUGCUGGUAUUAGAGCGGAAGUCUGAAGACCAGGCAACAAAAAU